rnacentral:rRNA from 1 species
AGCGGGAUGAGCUCAAAUUUAAAAUCUGGCUGGUUUACUAGUCCGAAUUGUAGUUUAAAGAAGCGUUUUCGGUGGCAGCCUGGGUAUAAAUCCUUUGGAACAGGGUAUCAUAGAGGGUGAGAAUCCCGUCUUUGACUCAGUGCAUGCUACUAUGUGAUACGUUUUCAAAGAGUCGAGUUGUUUGGGAAUGCAGCUCAAAAUGGGUGGUAAAUUUCAUCUAAAGCUAAAUAUUGGCGAGAGACCGAUAGCGAACAAGUACCGUGAGGGAAAGAUGAAAAGAACUUUGAAAAGAGAGUUAAACAGUGCGUGAAAUUGUUGAAAGGGAAACGCUUGACACCAGUCAUGCGGGCGGAAAAUCAGUCUUUUGCGGUGGGGAGAUGUGUGGGUUCGGACCGCAAGGCCGGCCUAUGCUUCAUCUCUGCCGUAAGUGAUGCACUUUUUCGUUUGCAGGCCAACAUCAGUUUCUUCUGCUGGACAAAACUCUUGAGAAGGUAGCAGCUUAGGCUGUGUUAUAGCUCUUGAGCGAUACAGUGGAGGAGACUGAGGUUUUCGCAGCGCGUGCUUUCGGGCAAGGCUGAUUGGGUGCUAUGGGAUCGUUCGGUGUACAAUGCAUGCAUUUUGCGCCGUGUCUUUUCUAUACUCGCUUAACUCGGCUCUUCCGCGCUUAGGAUGUUGGCUUAAUGGUUUUAAUCGACCCGU